GAUGAACGCUAGCGGCGUGCCUAAUACAUGCAAGUCGAGGGAACUGAUUAGAAGCUUGCUUCUAUGACGUUAGCGGCGGACGGGUGAGUAACACGUGGGCAACCUGCCUGUAAGACUGGGAUAACUUCGGGAAACCGAAGCUAAUACCGGAUAGGAUCUUCUCCUUCAUGGGAGAUGAUUGAAAGAUGGUUUCGGCUAUCACUUACAGAUGGGCCCGCGGUGCAUUAGUUAGUUGGUGAGGUAACGGCUCACCAAGGCAACGAUGCAUAGCCGCGCAGAGAGGGUGACCGGCCACACUGGGACUGAGACACGGCCCAGACUCCUACGGGAGGAAGCAGUAGGGAAUCUUCCGCAAUGGACGAAAGUCUGACGGAGCAACGCCGCGUGAGUGAUGAAGGCUUUCGGGUCGUAAAACUCUGUUGUUAGGGAAGAACAAGUAUGAGAGUAACUGCUCGUACCUUGACGGUACCUAACCAGAAAGCCACGGCUAACUACGUGCCAGCAGCCGCCGUAA
rnacentral:rRNA from 1 species